AUGUUAAAACUUCCAUUUUGUAUUCAGACAAUCUGCAUUCCUUCCCACAGUCCUUCCGGAUUUUACUGCAGUAAUUUGGUGUCAUCAGACAGGUUUCACAACGCCCAAAAGCCGCCAUUUGUACCUCGACAGCGAAGGAAUCUAAAUCCUCGUUGUUGGAGGUUGAAGAGUUUGGAUUCUUUGUCGGAGGUCACAGUCCGAGUUGAGACGUCUGAACCGAUCAAGGACAGACGGUGAAGAAUUGAUGGUCAGACGUAUGUCGACGACAGACAUGUUUUACAGCUCAGCAGCCCCCCUCAAGGAUGAACGUAUUUCAUGGCAUGAGGACGGCGGGAGCUCUGUGGUCGACGGCUGAGGCCUGAAGGUUUCUAUAGGGACACUUUUAAACCUGCAGAUGAAACAACAUGCGUUGUCUUCACUGUUUUUCUGAAUUAACGAGAUAACCUCCAGGACACUCUCCAUGCUUGAGGGCCAGGUCUAACCCAGAUCCUGUAUCCAGCCUCCAGCGAGCUCCGCCGGUCCCUCGUCCAUCGACCCUCCCUCUGGUCUAGAAGUACCAGGAGUUUGGAUGUGGAUACUAGUGAGAGAUGUGAUUCUGUCCAAAACGUCGGGCUCAGUCAGAAUGAGGUUUAUUUAUCUUUUAACAAAGUCAUAAUUACGGAUGAAAACGUGUCAAAAUAUGUAUAUUACACACAAUAUAGUUUACCUCAGCCUGUAAUAGACAAAACAUUAAUACUCUUUGGGUUCUGGCUCUGUUCGGGCUCACAUAACUUUUUCGGGCCCUGUUCGCCACCCAAAUUGUGGGACUAUAAAUGCUAGCACAGCUGUAAUCGUUAGCCGGUGGUUUGUGUCCGUACAGCAGCUCCAGUGUGUGAAACUGUGUGAAUAUAAAGCAGGAGAAGACAGAUGGAGCUGCACUGGUUCCACUGGACAAAAGGUUACAAAAGGAAUGAGCCUCUCUCUGCUGACAGCAGUGACAUGCUCCUUUCCCUCAUUUCCUCACCAGCUCCGCCGCUCUCGCUCCACCACGUUGUCACGCUCGGGCCCUCAUCACUCGGCCUCGGCCCCCGUGGCCCUCCGCUGAACCGAGCGCCGGUGCUCAUUACAGCGACGCAGGCCCCCAGAGGACGGAGGGGUUGAUGUUUAGCAGCUGAAUCACCUCCCUCCCCUCGCCUCCCCUCACCUCCCCUCGCCUCACCCGCCCGCCUGGCGUAGGUUUCAGUCUGCUGAGGCGGAGAACGUCAUUCAUCAAGAGCCGUCAGGCCGUCAGUCACAGCGGCCUGCAGGAGAGGAGAGGCCAUGGUCAUUAAGCUUCCUGCGGGCCCCGCGGCAACACACGGCGCUCAGAGUUGCUGAAAACCGGGUCUGUGGGUAAAAAACUGAUGAUUAUUGAGAGAAAUACGAUGAUUCGAGGUGGUGAGACACAGUUUAACGUCAGCAAUGAGGCCUGAAGUUCUCAUUUAAUCACAGGUUUUAGCUCGUUAGCUACAGGUUCGGUACAUAGUUUCUUUCAGGCUUACUGUUGCUGCUGUUUUCAGUUUAUUUCAGCCGAUUUUGAUUUCAUUCUUUAUUAGUUUCAGUCACAUUUUAGACGUUUGAUUAUUGAUUAUAGUUUUGGUUUUGUUGUGCAUUCUGUGAGCACCGAUUUUGUCUCCGUGCGGACUUCAUGGUACCGAAUCUGACGACCUCUCCGUGAUUACAGUCACUGCACCGUGUUGCAACAAGAAAUAGUUCCAGUCCUUUUUCACAGCAGCCAUUAUGAACAUAAAAUAGGGUAAACACAGGUGUUACCAAUGACACUAACUAAGGUUCAGUUCAGAUCAAACAGAGUCGGAGUGCUGCCAUUGUGCAUGUUAUCUCACUGGAAAGGCUCUGCUACACUAGAUGGAACAGAGCCUGGCUCGUAGCAUAAUGUUAGCUCUCUGGCAAAAGUAAUGAUCUUUCCUUUUGCAAGUGACCGUGGUAUGAGCGGGUUUGCCCAUCGCAGUCGGACUAAAUACACAGAAUAUAAUAUAAAGGAAGUUCAGAUUUUGUAAGACCUGAACCAAACGGAGGUAACGGGAANNNNNNNNNNNNNNNNNNNNNNNNNNNNNNNNNNNNNNNNNNNNNNNNNNNNNNNNNNNNUUGGUGGGAAAUUGCCCCCCAAAAAGUACAUUAGAGGCAGUGAAACACAUAUUUUACAUUUGUAGAAUAUAUUGAUUGAUGGCAAAUAUUUGGUCAAUAGCGCUGUGUGCUACGUCCCCCCAGUCCAGCAGCUGUAGUGGAUCCAUUAGCGGACUCUGUCGGACUGGGAGCUCCCAGUGAACAGCAGGUCCAGACUGGGACUGAAUGCAGCAUCUGAUGCUGACGGAGGACAGUUUGACCACAGACUUUAUUAAGUUCUGAGGAGGUUUUAACCGGGUUUGGUUCCUGCCACCCCGGGGCUAAGUUGGCUAACGUUAGCUAACCAUCCAAUCCAUAACUGAAUCUUUAAAGAGUUUAAAUACAAUUUUUAACAUUAUUUUUAACUCCACAGACGGGGCAACCAAAUAAAUAUAUAAUAUAUAUCCCAACUAUUGAUUUUAAGUGAAAUCUUUGAUAAGAAUCUACUGUGAUUAACAU
rnacentral:lncRNA from 15 species